UACCAGCACCCCGAGUGGUCGGGACGAUUAUUGGGCCUAAAGCAUCCGUAGCCGGUUCUACAAGUCUUCCGUUAAAUCCAGCUGCUCAACAGAUGGGCCGCGGAGGAUACUACAGAGCUAGGAGGCAGGAGAGGCAAGCGGUACUCAGUGGGUAGGGGUAAAAUCCGUUGAUCCAUUGAAGACCACCAGUGGCGAAGGCGGCUUGCCAGAAUGCGCUCGACGGUGAGGGAUGAAAGCUGGGGGAGCAAACCGG
rnacentral:rRNA from 1 species